rnacentral:rRNA from 1 species
CUUAGCAGAGAUGCUUUGGUGCCCUCGGGAACUCUGAGACAGGUGCUGCAUGGCUGUCGUCAGCUCGUGUUGUGAAAUGUUGGGUUAAGUCCCGCAACGAGCGCAACCCUUAUCCUUUGUUGCCAGCGGCUCGGCCGGGAACUCAAAGGAGACUGCCGGUGAUAAACCGGAGGAAGGUGGGGAUGACGUCAAGUCAUCAUGGCCCUUACGGCCAGGGCUACACACGUGCUACAAUGGCGCAUACAAAGAGAAGCGACCUCGCGAGAGCAAGCGGACCUCAUAAAGUGCGUCGUAGUCCGGAUUGGAGUCUGCAACUCGACUCCAUGAAGUCGGAAUCGCUAGUAAUCGUAGAUCAGAAUGCUACGGUGAAUACGUUCCCGGGCCUUGUACACACCGCCCGUCACACCAUGGGAGUGGGUUGCAAAAGAAGUAGGUAGCUUAACCUUCGGGAGGGCGCUUACCACUUUGUGAUUCAUGACUGGGGUGAAGUCGUAACAAGGUAGGCGUAGCGAG